rnacentral:rRNA from 1 species
CCCUAUUAUGUAAAUAAAUAUUGAUUAUUAUGUUAUGAAAUUUAAUGAUUUUGGCGGUUAUUUAUUAAUUAGAGGAGCUUGUUUAUAGAAUUUACUCUUUAUAUUUAAUUUAUAUAUUGUUUAUUUAUCUCCGUUAUUAGAAGUAAGGUUUUAAAAAAUUUUUUUUUAAAUUUCAGGUCAAGAUGUAGCAAUUAUUUUUAAAAAUUAGCUACAAUUAUAAAGUAAUGGAUUUAGGGGGGAUUAGUAAAUGAAAUUGAAUUUAGUUGUAAUUUUUAUUUAGAAAAAUAGGAUGAAUUAGAGUAAUUAAUGUA